GGUUAAAAAGCUCGUAGUUGGAUCUUGGAAUGUGAACGCUAGGUCGCUUUACUGAGUGAACUUUGUGGCGCAUUCUUCCAUUUGGUCGGUGUGUUUGUGCUCUUAAUUGAGUGCAACAUGCUACCAGAAAUUUUACCUUGAAAAAAUUAGAGUGUUCAAAGCAGACCUUUUUGUGUCUGAAUAUUCGUGCAUGGAAUAAUAAAAUAUGAAUUCGGUUCUAUUUUAUUGGUUUUCGGAACUCGAGUUAAUGAUUAAGAGGGACAGACGGGGGCAUCCGUACUCUGCCGUUAGAGGUGAAAUUCUUGGAUCGGCGGAAGACGCGCAACUGCGAAAGCAUUUGCCAAGAAUGUUUUCUUUAAUCAAGAACGAUAGUCGGAGGUUCGAAGACGAUCAGAUACCGUCCUAGUUUCGACUGUAAACUAUGCCAGCUAACGAUCAGACAGCGUUCUCUGCGACUUGUCUGGCAGUUUCCGGGAAACCAAAGCUUUUGGGUUCCGGGGGAAGUAUGGUUGCAAAGCUGAAACUUAAAGGAAUUGACGGAAGGGCACCACCAGGAGUGGAGCCUGCGGCUUAAUCUGACUCAACACGGGGAAACUCACCCGGCCCGGACACAGUGAGGAUUGACAGAUUGAGAGUUCU
rnacentral:rRNA from 1 species